GUGGCGGUUAGCUCAACAGAAGAGCGCCAACUUUUGCCCAGAAGGGACGAAGAUUGAGGGUUAUCGUUUUACCGAAUCCUCCCUCGAUCGCUGGAGAUGCGGGUGCAAUUCCCGCGCCGCUACACCA
rnacentral:tRNA from 1 species